GCUUGAUUUGGCCACUCAUAUACUAAAAUAGGAAUGAUACAGAGAGAUUAGCAUGGCCCCUGUGCAAGAAUGACACACAAAUUCAUGAAGCAUUCCUUUUUUUU